AGCCAGCGGCUCUCGCGACGAUUUGCUUAGAGCUUCGCCAGGCUCCAAUGGGGGUGGCUCUUAAAGGGCGAGGCACGGGGGUUGUCGUCUUUUGCUUUUUCUUGAGUGAACAGGGUAGGCACCUGAAGCUCUGCGACACCAGAGAGGAGCUUGGGGCUCGACGCGCACGUCCAGUGUUGCUUCAGAAGGCUCAAAGGAACGUCUCGGGCUAAGCGACUUCGCUGACGAAGUGUUUGGGCCUGUGUGCGUCACUGCUUCGAGGACUAGUGUUCAGAAUCCUGGCCAGUGAGCCCGGAUCAGGAGCCUGAACUAGCUGGUCGGGGACCCUCAUCCACAGAGGCGAAGGAGGCACGUUCCUUGUCGCUCUGUAUGGGUUCACUCUGGACUUGGAAUUGUGUGAGGUUUAAGAAAGCACGAGUGCGGUAUCUUGACUCCAUGUAUAUAGUUUGGUCUGAGCUGUCUAGUCUUGACUCCAUGUAUGUUUGGUCUGGAGCAAAAUUGGUAGCUGUAUAUAUUAGAACUUUUUUCUAUUUGAGCUAACUUUUUUUAGUUGGCCAUUUGGUCCCUCUCAUCUCAGGUUCAUUCAAAUAUUUGAACCCAGACCGUGUGCUACAUUCUGUUUUCCUGAGGAUACAGGAGUGCAUCAGACAGAGGUCUUUGCAUUGGCUGAAAGUUCCAGCCCUCUAACCAGCUGGUCUUUCUCGUGAUCAGCCCCUCCAGAGGUUUCCUUUGGGCCCCUCUCCUAAGUGCUUAAACUCAGUAUAAACUGCGGCCAUCUGAAGAGGCUCAUAUGAACAACAAAAGAAACUCAGAAAAUUCCAAGGAUUCAAGAGUUGUCACUGGAACUGAAAACUUCAUCGUAUACCACAGCUAGGGUAUAUAAAGACCCAAUACUUUAAAUUGUAAUUCUGAAAGGCUCUAAAUUCCUAACAGUUGUUAACACAUCAGCCUCUUAGCAGGAUGAAAGAUCCUACAUACCCAUUCUACAGACUCCGUCUUUCUACCAGGAUAAACAAAUCUCCAGGAAUUAUACUUUGGAUUUGCUUUAUCUUAGUCUCAUAACUUUAUUUUCUGCCCCAGAUUUGAUGAGUUUCUGGGUUGGUGAAUGCAUCCUUGAACUAGGAAGAUUCUGUACUCCAACUCUACAGGAAUAGAAAUUCCUGCACUCAGAGGACGCUCAUGAACCAGCUCUUGUGUACUUCUUCAUUUGGCUGUCCAUGUGCAUCUGUUGUAAUAUCCUUUAUAAUGAAUGGCUAAAUUGAAAUAAAGUUUCCCUGAAUUCUCUGUUCCACCACCACAGCAAAUUACCAAACGCAAGGAGGGUUAAAGGAUCCCUGAUUUUAUAGUCACUUAGUCAAAAACAGGUCACAAUCUGGAACUUGUGAUUGGCAUCAGAAGUGGGGAUAAUCUUAUGAGGCAGAGCCAUUAACUUGUGGGAUUUGACUCAAAUUCCAGGUUGAUAAUAUCAGAAGUUAAAAGUGAAUCAUAGGAUACCCAGCUCGUGUGCAGAAAGUUGAAGUGCUUGGUGUGGAAAAAACCCACCAUUUGACCAUGACCAAAGAAGUGUUCUGUGUUGAGUGUAGAAAAAUGGAAUUUGUAUUUCUUCAUUAAUAUAAAUUAAAUGAACAACAUUUUC